rnacentral:rRNA from 1 species
GACGAACGCUGGCGGCGUGCUUAACACAUGCAAGUCGAGCGGUAAGGCCCUUUCGGGGGUACACGAGCGGCGAACGGGUGAGUAACACGUGGGUGACCUGCCCUCAGCUCUGGGAUAAGCCUGGGAAACUGGGUCUAAUACUGGAUAUGACUCCACGGUGCAUGUCGUGGGGUGGAAAGCCUUGUGCGGCUGAGGAUGGGGCCCGCGGCCUAUCAGCUUGUUGGUGGGGUGANGGCCUACCAAGGCGACGACGGGUAGCCGGCCUGAGAGGGCGACCGGCCACACUGGGACUGAGACACGGCCCAGACUCCUACGGGAGGCAGCAGUGGGGAAUCUUGCGCAAUGGGCGAAAGCCUGACGCAGCGACGCCGCGUGAGGGAUGACGGCCUGGUCG